rnacentral:rRNA from 1 species
GAUGAACGCUGGCGGCGUGCCUAAUACAUGCAAGUCGAGCGAACGGACGAGAAGCUUGCUUCUCUGAUGUUAGCGGCGGACGGGUGAGUAACACGUGGAUAACCUACCUAUAAGACUGGGAUAACUUCGGGAAACCGGAGCUAAUACCGGAUAAUAUUUUGAACCGCAUGGUUCAAAAGUGAAAGACGGUCUUGCUGUCACUUAUAGAUGGAUCCGCGCUGCAUUAGCUAGUUGGUAAGGUAACGGCUUACCAAGGCAACGAUGCAUAGCCGACCUGAGAGGGGGAGCCGCCACCCUGGAACUGGAGACCGGUCCCGACUCCUACGGGGGGCAACAGGAGGGAAUUUUUCCGAAUGGGGAGAAACCUUACGGGGCAACGCCGCGGGAGGGAUGAAGGUUUUCGGAUCGGAAAACCCUUUUAUUAGGGAAAAACAAAAUGUUAAGGAAAUUUGCACAUCUUGACGGGACCUAAACAAAAAGCCACGGCUAACCUCCGU